GUGAAACGUUCCAUUUCCUGCCUUCCCCACAAAGACUUCAGCUUGUGUCACAUCCUCUGUUGAUAAAGUAGAACCUUUAUCUCUAAUGCUUUCAGCCAAGCGUUCUGCUCACAUAGCAUGUGGUGUCAAUCAAGGAGAGAAGUCUGGCUUGUGAAUGGGGUUGACAAGAAGAAUUCCAGUUAGAGUAGAUGUUGGAAGUCCCAGCCACACUGAAGUAUACCUCAACUCCUGUUAACAUCUUCCAAAACAUUCAACAAAGAGGUUUUAGGGAUACAGGCUGGCUUCAGACAGUCAUCACACUUCCUUCAGCUGCCCUGUCUCAAGGCCAUCUUCCCCAAAGGCAUCCAGUCAUCAUGCAGAAACGGAGACCAAGAGCAGAGUUUGCCACAGUCAUUAAUCACUUCUGUUGCUUUGGGGUAUGA
rnacentral:lncRNA from 1 species